CCUACGGGAGGCAGCAGUGAGGAAUAUUGGUCAAUGGACGAGAGUCUGAACCAGCCAAGUAGCGUGAAGGAUGACUGCCCUAUGGGUUGUAAACUUCUUUUAUAUGGGAAUAAAAUGUUCCACGUGUGGGAUUUUGUAUGUACCAUAUGAAUAAGGAUCGGCUAACUCCGUGCCAGCAGCCGCGGUAAUACGGAGGAUCCGAGCGUUAUCCGGAUUUAUUGGGUUUAACGGGAGCGUAGGUGGAUUGUUAAGUCAGUUGUGAAAGUUUGGGGCUCAACCGUAAAAUUGCAGUUGAAACUGGCAGUCUUGAGUGCAGUAGAGGUGGGCGGAAUUCGUGGUGUAGCGGUGAAAUGCUUAGAUAUCACGAAGAACUCCGAUUGCGAAGGCAGUUCACUGGACUGCAACUGACACUGAGGCUCGAAAGUGUGGGUAUCAAACAGGAUUAGAUACCCUUGUAGUC
rnacentral:rRNA from 1 species